AAUAACGCACCCUGGGUUCCCUGCAUUUUCAGUGACAGAGAACCAGAUAUAAGAAUGCAGGGAAACAAGCCUUGUUACAAGGUUUGAGGGUCUCUGCUAGAAUCAUGUGGACCCCAGUGUAACACAUCUAUGGAAAGAGAGAAAAUCUCAGCUCAAGGGUCAACAUGUCUUUAUUCCAAGAAAGAGUGUACAUAUGCCAGAAUCAUAUGGACCGCAGACUGGCCCUGGUGAUUCCGUUAAGAAAAAAGAGGAAAAAUCAGUGCUUGUGCUCAUUGGUCAUUGGACAAAGGGUGUAUGCCAGAAUUUUUUGAAGAACAGUCUGAAUCUGACAUGGAAAAAUGAAGAAAAACAGCCUUCCUGUUUAUAAAUCUACAUUCUGACAAAGGAUCAUUUCCUUGAGAUAGGUGGAACCAACAGUCAAAUCCAGACACCUUUAAGAAAAGUAAAAAUCUGACUCAGGUAAGAAAGAAAUUCAGGAGUUCUUAAAUUGCCCUCAGAGUUCUUGGAUUGCAUCAAACUGCUAAAAGACCUCAACAAAAACAGUGUCUUGAAAAAAAAAUGAAAAUAUUCAGUGAAAAAAAAAUUAUGAGAGAAAAAGCCACUAAAAAUCUUCAAGCCUUUGAGCUGAAAUCUGGAAGUCAAUCUGUGGACUUUACUGGUAUGUCUUACUAAUUAAGUCAUCAUUUGUGUAUAAUAAAUACACUAAACUGUAAACACUUGUUAAAAUGUAUAUAAUUUUUAGAUAUAAUUUGUAGCUCACAGACAUCAAUAGUUUCAUGUAAUUUAAGUGAUAAUGAAAAUUUCCUGUUGUCUGGCUAGAUUAGAAACUAUAUAUUAUUGUCCAAUUUUGGAUAUUGUGAAAUAAUUCAUUUAGUAAAAUUGGGUAUGCAUACAUGUGUGUACACUUACAUGUAAAUUAAUUGUUAUAGCAAAUUUAAUCUAUCAUUAAGUUGAAUGUUGACUAAUGUUUUUCAUCAAAAUUGUUUACACUGAAUUGUUUGUGGAUUUUUCCAUUUGCCCAAUCAUGUCAAGGAGCACAUGGCAGAAAAUGCUUUCUCCUCCAUAGCACUUGGUGUUUUUAGAGGUCUGUGUUUGCUCUGCUCCAAUUUUGUAUUGUUUCAAUGGACUUUAAAGCUUGAUCACUUUUGGUAAUCUUCAUAUUUUAUAUACUAUUAGAGUACUUGAAGAGAACUGUAAAGAUUUAACAUACAGUAUAAUGCAUGUAUAUUGCACUUUAAGUAGAGUGUAUGUGGUUUAGAAAUGUAAUUCAUCUCAUAGUGCAUUGAAUUUGUUGAAAAUUAGAAACUUUGUUGAAAUUGUUUUAGAAUAAUGUUAGA